CUCAUUUUUCUACUGCUCGUGGUAAGUGGCUUCGUGGUCUUUAUAGCUGUUACUCUUUUGUACUUUGUCUUUUUCUUUUAUUUUCUUUUGAGCGAUUGUGCGAACAUAGCAUAGCACGCACUAUGCCUUCUGUGUUGUAGCUGCCUGGCCAGGGCGACUGGCGGAUAAGGUCUUGUGCGUGGCCUCGAGGCUUAAAAGUAGCAGUGGGGCUUUGUGAAGGACAAAAUGGCGAUGGCGGGCCGUGUAGGUCCCCCUUCCUAUGAUGAGGACCUUUUCACAGACCUGUACUGAGCUCCGUGAGGAUAAAUAACUCUGAGGAGAUGGGCCCUGCAAGCCUCUUGCUUAGCCGUCUGUUCAGAAAAUAGCGUUUUCGAAAUGCCCUGAGUUGACCUAAUGUCUUAUUGGGCUCCUGUCUGCAGGAUUUACGCGCACGUUGGAACCGAAGAGAGCUCUGUUGUUGCAAUGUUCAGCCCACAAGAGCUUACUGGUGAAGGAAUGGGACAAGACCCAUCUUUAUGCAAAGCCAGCGUUACAGUAAUGUUCCAGCAUCUCAUAAUCUAUCCUGGGGAAUUCAGCUGCCUCCCAGGGUGAAUACAGGUAAUUAUCCAAAUUGGUGUAUGUCAUCUUUGUAAAUGUUCAAGAAAACAAGUGGCCGGCGGAACAAUGUUUUUUGGCGCCUUCCAUCUUGUUCCUCUUGAAAUGAUUUUCUGGGGAGGGAGAUCGCAACCCGGUACUACAGUUCUUGUAAGGGUGUGCUGUUACCCUCAUCCAUAUAUCGAUCACGUUACUGUCAGAUGAUUUGAAUUGAUAAGCUGAUGUUCUGUGAGGUACAAAAGUUAAUAGCAUGUUAGAGUUCUGAUGGCAGUUGUUGUUUAUGAAUAAGCUUCAUUCCAUCCUAAUACCUUAAAAUAACUAAUUUGCUUUCCUUUCCAGGUAUUCCUGAUGACAGUCUGCCUCUAUCUUACAGUAAGUUGUUUUUCGAAUUCUAUGGGCCUAUUAUCUAAUAGAUAACUUAGCCAUUUUGAUAUUUGUUACCAAAGCCUGCUUAACCCAUAAAGUUUUCUGGUUCCUCUUGUUCUCUGUAGUGAUGUUUCUAGAUAGAUGCCCACUGAUAUAUGCCCCUUUUUUCUCAGAUAGAUGCCCACUGAUCUGCCCAGGGUCAGACGAAUGCUUGUCAGUUGUAGCUUUCCAGGAUUCUGCUCCAAUGAGGAGGAAACAUCCUGCCUUACCCCUGUUUUAGCCUGGGAACCAGUAAUUGUGAACUCACCAGGGUUAACAUGAAGAGGGCAUGAGAGCUUAUUCCAUAAGGAAUUGUCUGAGACAUUUGGUUACCUUUUCUUAGUUUGUCCAUUAGCAACCGUAACUAAAAUAGUUUUGGCUGUUUGGGAUAAUUAGCUAAUUGAAUGAUUUUUUGAUUCAGGAGCAGCUUGUUGCUAUAUACCAUUGAAAAGCCUUCAGAGCUGAGAGGUACUACUAACCAAUAACCUGCUUGGCUCAAAGGGCCAGCACCUUCUCUCUAAAGCCCAAGAGGAGUUUGAGGAAAACUAGGUGUCUGUGUUCACUCCAGGCUGAAGUUACAGGUCUGAGCAAAUAAGGUGUAUAAAAAAUGGAAUCUGUCUUGGAGGACAUCAGAAGGUGAAUUUUCCAAGUUCUUGGACAACCUAGCUGUUGAAAAGCUUUCUGGGUUUGGGGGGUAUUUCAGAUGUACCUUAAAGUGUUAGCAGACACAGAUUAAGACACUGGGAGCCAAUGAAACAGCAGUUGAGGGUUUGCUGUGUAUCACAUUUCUGUAUUUUAUCACCCCCUUCCUGCAACAUUAUUUAUCUGGAAUCUACCUGCCCUUUUGUUUUUUAGAUACAAGGGCUUGGUUUUGUUACCCAGGCUGGUUUCAAGGCCAUAGCUUUAAGAGAUCCUCUCACCACAGAUUUCCAAAGUGCUGGGAUUGCAGGUGUGAUUCAUGGCACCCAGACUUUGCUGCCUUUCUUACAUGAUCCAGGCCCAGAACCCAAACUCAGGCACUGUAUAGAUGACCACUUUCGUAAACUACUGACCUAGCUUGUUGCCAAUUGUUGAUUGAACUUCCCAUAACUCCACUUCGUGUCUGUUCCUCUGUAUACAGCCACCUUCUGUUCCCGUCAUGAGCCUUUAGGUCUCCAUUUGCAUAUUGCAAAUACUAUGUUCCAUGUAGGUAGCUCAUUCAGGGCCUUGCUCUUCACUUCAAAAAAGGUUCCCUUGAGGACUGGCUGUCAAUUUGUGUUGCUGUGUUGGUUGUUGAUGAAAAUAAUAAAAUGAUUGAUUACAUA
rnacentral:lncRNA from 1 species